rnacentral:tRNA from 1 species
GAUAUCAAAGUCUAGCGGUUAGAACGCUGGCCUUGUAACCCUGGGGGGUCUCGGGUUCGAUUCCCGGUGGUGCCC